rnacentral:rRNA from 1 species
AUUGAACGCUGGCGGCAGGCCUAACACAUGCAAGUCGAGCGAGCGGCGGACGGGUGAGUAAUGUCAGGGAAACUGCCUGAUGGAGGGGGAUAACUACUGGAGACGGUAGCUAAUACCGCAUACCCUCAGAUGUGCCCAGAUGGGAGUAGCUAGUAGGUGGGGUAACGGCUCACCUAGGCGACGAGCCCUAGCUGGUCUGAGAGGCUGACCAACCACACUGGAACUGAGACACGGUCCAGACUCCUACGGGAGGAAGCAGUGGGGAAGAGUGCACAAUGGGCGAAAGCCUGAUGCAGCCAUGCCGCGUGUGUGAAGAAGGCCUUCGGGUUGUAAAGCACUUUCAGCGGGGAGGCGUUACCCGCAGAAGAAGCACCGGCUAACUCCGUGCCAGCAGCCGCGGUAAUAC